GACGAACGCUGGCGGCGUGCUUAACACAUGCAAGUCGAACGGAAAGGCCCUGCUUUUGUGGGGUGCUCGAGUGGCGAACGGGUGAGUAACACGUGAGUAACCUGCCCUUGACUUUGGGAUAACUUCAGGAAACUGGGGCUAAUACCGGAUAGGAGCUCCUGCUGCAGUGAGGGGGUUGGAAAUUUGCGGCGGGUGGGGAUGGACUCGCGGCUUAUCAGCUUGUUGGUGGGGUAGUGGCUUACCAAGGCUUUGACGGGUAGCCGGCAUGAGAGGGUGACCGGCCACAUUGGGCCUGAGAUACGGACCAGACUCCUACGGGAGGCAGAAGUGGGGAAUAUUGCACAAUGGGCGGAAGCCUGAUGAAGCAACGCCGCGUGCGGGAUGACGGCCUUCGGGUUGUAAACCGCUUUAGCCUGUGACGAAGCGUGAGUGACGGUAAUGGGUAAAGAAGCACCGGCUAACUACGUG
rnacentral:rRNA from 1 species